CCCACUUGCAGCGCUUCAUCGAUUAUUUUUUUAUGGUUUCUACUUUGAUUAUUUCUUCCUAUAAUUCUUUUUCAUUCAAUUUUUAUAGCCUGCAUGUCAAUAAAACCUUCACUUUCUUAUGUUAAAUCAACUUAGAUGCAAGGGAGCCAGUUUCCAGAUACCAGCACCAAAAAAUAUGUUCACAUCGUUGUUGUAUAUUUUGGCGACGCUACCGCAUAUUGGCCAUCGUUAUGGGUAGGCUCCGAGCAGCAACACUUUCACUAAUCGAAAAUAUCCAAGAACUUUCGAAAAAGAAGAUGCAGUCUCCAAAGGUACCCUCUAAUCGAUUUCAACCUAUAAAUUUAGAUCUAAUUAAUUGACAUUAUUUGAUACUCCACCAUUUAUACUCAUCUCCGUAACAAUUGAUUUAUGUCUAUAAACUUCUGAGAUGGGAAGAAGAAUGAGAAGAAACGGAGUGCUGAAGAAGAAACAACGACGAAGAAGAAGAUGCAACAUCGUAAAAAAGAAGUUCGCCUGAUUUCUUCUUCUAACUGAUUCGCAAUCAAAUGCAUCAUCUCUCACAAAUCAUGGUUACUCUUUUCAUCAAGCUGUCUGAAUUUUACCAAUAUCGAUAGAAAAUAUAUAGAUAGAGGUUGUUGUAGUAUGGUAGUUGAAUUUAGUACGAAUAAGUAAACGAAUGGUCUUUUAAUGGUAAAGAAAAGAUAAGGAAAAUUUUAGGAAUCGAUUA